rnacentral:lncRNA from 1 species
AUGACAAUCGCUGCACCAGACACCAUGUCUGUCUCUGUGUUCUUCGUGCUGUUUCUCAUUACAACGCAUCCCCAGGUUGAAGAGGCAGUAAUGAAGGAAAUCCAGACUGUUGUUGCCUCACCAGGAGAGAACACAUUUCCCCUGGCUAGAAGAUGCCCAUCAGUCCUGUCUUCAAGCCAAGGAGGCUGGCUCUCAAGCUCUUGGAAAUGUCUUCAUGGAGGGCACACGAGAUCAAAGUAUGAACAAUUCAGGCCCUUAAUUUGCCUAAAAUGAGGUGAAGUUUGUUUAACCAACCCACUUUUCCACUUAUCACAUUGUCAUCAUGUAGAUUCAGCUGUAGCAUCAUCUAUGAUAAUUAGAUGGAAAUCAAAUCAGAAGAAAUGAUUUGGUUUUUGCAGUCUGCCUUGAGUCACCAAAUGGCCCCACAAGUACUAGUCUCUAUUCUAAACAGGACUUGGUAAUUAGAAGAACUCCCACCUUGUUCUUAAUUGAGGUAUACUGGAGAUUCUGCAUCUGUUAUGUCAAAUUCUAGGCAAUGAUUCUUUUUUAACCUGAAUUAUCCAUAUAGUUCAUUGCAUUACCCCAUUUUUCAAUUUCCAUAUGGGAAGAGAUAUGAUCUUAGUUAAACCAGUUCUCUAAUUCACUGUACUUGUAUAUAAGCAACACUUACCAUGUUGCCAAUUGGUCAAAAAUAACUUACUAAGUAUCCUUCAAGUGCCAGACAAUAUGUAAGUCCAAAUGGGGACAAGACAGAGAGGUGUGUCCCUUUAAAUAUUUGUAUAACAAAAAAUAUUUAGAUUCUUGGCAUGAAUAGGACAGGAACGCACACUUUGCCUAAAUCUGUCCUUGGCAUCAGGUUAUAAGGCCUGGCACAACAACGGUCUUUGCCUCAGUGACUGGCAGAACAGCAGUAAAGAUGUGGCCUUCCCACAGAGCUAGCUGAGUACUUUACAUGAAAACGUAACUGGGGAUUGUUGAGGCUGUGUCUGUAUCACAAAGGGUGAAUCAAACUGGAAGGAGAAGUCUUAUCUGAGUCAUAGUCAUUCCUGUCUGUGAAGAAGCAGUAUGGCCAAAUCACUAAAACCGAGCAUUCUGACUGACUGUGGUUUCAGGGUGAAUCAAACGGAGAUGCAUGACUCUAGCCUUUACUACUCUGGCUAAUUGUCUGAUCUCUUUCCCAGGUUCCUUACAGGUACUUUCAGCCAUUUGGCUUUGGGCCCCGGGCCUGUGUGGGAAAGUACAUCGCCAUGGUGAUGAUGAAGGUUGUCCUGGUCACCCUUCUGAGACGCUUCCACGUGCAGACUUUGCAAGGUCGGUGCGUUGAGAAGAUGCAGAAGAAAAAUGACUUAUCCUUGCAUCCAGACGAGACCAGAGACCAGCUAGAAAUGAUUUUCACCCCAAGAAAUUCAGACAAGUGCCUCGAGCGCUAAAGAAGUUUGGUCAGUCCCUGCCCCAGAGCACUGCUCAACAGAACUCCACAUGGGAACCACCCAUCUU